AGGAGGAACAACCACAGUGGUGGCAGCCAGUUCUAGAGCCCUUGAUUCAGCUCCCGCAGUAACUAGGGAGCUCUCUGUCUGCAGGGAUCUGGAUGCUCCAGGGGCGG
rnacentral:pre_miRNA from 1 species